UAGCACAGCCUCUUAUCCACUUGUAUCUUUUUACAAUUAAGUGGAUUUUAAAAACUGUGCAAUAGAAAAAGGCAGAUAGAAAAAGGGGUUUGAACAUACUUUGUCCGUUUCCCUUGCUUGAUCUGCAAACAUUC
rnacentral:snoRNA from 1 species